rnacentral:rRNA from 1 species
ACCAGUCGACCUCGGAUCAGGUAGGAAUACCCGCUGAACUUAAGCAUAUCAAUAAGCGGAGGA